CAUUCACGGAGAGUUUGAUCCUGGCUCAGGACGAACGCUGGCGGCGUGCUUAACACAUGCAAGUCGAACGAUGAACCACCUUCGGGUGGGGAUUAGUGGCGAACGGGUGAGUAACACGUGGGCAAUCUGCCCUUCACUCUGGGACAAGCCCUGGAAACGGGGUCUAAUACCGGAUACUGACCUGCCAAGGCAUCUUGGCGGGUCGAAAGCUCCGGCGGUGAAGGAUGAG
rnacentral:rRNA from 1 species